UGAAAUUUAAGUGAUGAUGUUAAAAAUUCAUCUAAUGAUAAUCCAUCACAAGUGAUAGCUAGACGGCACCGAUCUAGUACCAAGAAUUCUCCCAUGAAGUUUAAAAUGGCAUUGCAAAAAUUCCAGUUUUUUUUUCGAAAUGCAUUGUAAAUAGAAUAUAACUUUAAAAUAACAUUUCAUGAGACCAAUUGAUUUGUUACACAGCAUCAUAAAUCCAACUUUAUUAUGAUAAUGAAAUAUAUCUUGUAAAAUUUU